UGCUCUCGGGUGACGAGUGGCGGACGGGUGAGUAAUGUCUGGGAAACUGCCUGAUGGAGGGGGAUAACUACUGGAAACGGUAGCUAAUACCGCAUAACGUCUUCGGACCAAAGUGGGGGACCUUCGGGCCUCACACCAUCGGAUGUGCCCAGAUGGGAUUAGCUAGUAGGUGGGGUAAUGGCUCACCUAGGCGACGAUCCCUAGCUGGUCUGAGAGGAUGACCAGCCACACUGGAACUGAGACACGGUCCAGACUCCUACGGGAGGCAGCAGUGGGGAAUAUUGCACAAUGGGCGCAAGCCUGAUGCAGCCAUGCCGCGUGUAUGAAGAAGGCCUUCGGGUUGUAAAGUACUUUCAGCGGGGAGGAAGGCGAUAAGGUUAAUAACCUUGUCGAUUGACGUUACCCGCAGAAGAAGCACCGGCUAACUCCGUGCCAGCAGCCGCGGUAAUACGGAGGGUGCAAGCGUUAAUCGGAAUUACUGGGCGUAAAGCGCACGCAGGCGGUCUGUCAAGUCAGAUGUGAAAUCCCCGGGCUUAACCUGGGAACUGCAUUUGAAACUGGCAGGCUAGAGUCUUGUAGAGGGGGGUAGAAUUCCAGGUGUAGCGGUGAAAUGCGUAGAGAUCUGGAGGAAUACCGGUGGCGAAGGCGGCCCCCUGGACAAAGACUGACGCUCAGGUGCG
rnacentral:rRNA from 1 species